rnacentral:rRNA from 1 species
UACGUAGGGUGCGAGCGUUAAUCGGAUUUACUGGGCGUAAAGCGUGCGCAGGCGGCCCGUUAAGACAGGUGUGAAAUCCCUGGGCUCAACCUAGGAAUUGCGCUUGUGACUGGCGGGCUCGAGUACGGUAGAGGGGGGUGGAAUUCCUGGUGUAGCAGUGAAAUGCGUAGAGAUCAGGAGGAACACCGAUGGCGAAGGCAGCCCCCUGGGCCUGUACUGACGCUCAUGCACGAAAGCAUGGGGAGCAAACAGG